rnacentral:rRNA from 1 species
UACAGAGGGGGCAAGCGUUAUUCGGAAUUAUUGGGCGUAAAGAGCUCGUAGGCGGCUUGUUGCGUCGACCGUGAAAACCCGUGGCUUAACUGCGGGCUUGCGGUCGAUACGGGCGGGCUGGAGUUCGGUAGGGGAGACUGGAAUUCCUGGUGUAGCGGUGAAAUGCGCAGAUAUCAGGAGGAACACCGGUGGCGAAGGCGGGUCUCUGGGCCGAUACUGACGCUGAGGAGCGAAAGCGUGGGGAGCGAACAGG